rnacentral:rRNA from 1 species
AGGAGCGCAGCCUGAUCCAGCCAUGCCGCGUGUCUGAAGAAGGCCUUCGGGUUGUAAAGGACUUUUGUCAGGGAGGAAAUCCCGGUGGUUAAUACCUGGCGGGGAUGACAGUACCUGAAGAAUAAGCACCGGCUAACUACGUGCCAGCAGCCGCGGUAAUACGUAGGGUGCAAGCGUUAAUCGGAAUUACUGGGCGUAAAGCGUGCGCAGGCGGUUGUGCAAGUCUGAUGUGAAAGCCCCGGGCUCAACCUGGGAACUGCAUUGGAGACUGCACGGCUAGAGUGCGUCAGAGGGGGGUAGAAUUCCACGUGUAGCAGUGAAAUGCGUAGAGAUGCGGAGGAAUACCGAUGGCGAAGGCAGCCCCCUGGGAUGACACUGACGCUCAUGCACGAAAGCGUGGGGAGCAAACAGGAUUAGAUACCCUGGUAGUCCACGCCCUAAACGAUGUCAAUUAGCUGUUGGGGGUUUGAAUCCUUGGUAGCGUAGCUAACGCGUGAAAUUGACCGCCUGGGGAGUACGGCCGCAAGGUUAAAA